rnacentral:rRNA from 1 species
GCCAGCCCGCUCAGAACUCAAAGGAAUUGACGGGGCCCGCACAAGCGGUGGAGUAUGUGGUUUAAUUCGAUGCAACGCGAAGAACCUUACCUGGUCUUGACAUCCCGGAGACCCUUAGGAAACUAGGGGGUGCUUCCAUCUGGAAGAAUCUGGAGACAGGUGCUGCAUGGCUGUCGUCAGCUCGUGUCGUGAGAUGUUGGGUUAAGUCCCGCAACGAGCGCAACCCUUGCCUUUAGUUGCCAGCAGUUCGGCUGGGCACUCUAAAGGGACUGCCGGUGUUAAACCGGAGGAAGGUGGGGAUGACGUCAAGUCCUCAUGGCCUUUAUGACCAGGGCUACACACGUACUACAAUGGCCGAUACAAAGGGCAGCGACACUGCGAGGUGAAGCCAAUCCCGUAAAAUCGGUCUCAGUCCGGAUUGGAGUCUGCAACUCGACUCCAUGAAGUUGGAAUCGCUAGUAAUCGUGGAUCAGCAUGCCACGGUGAAUACGUUCCCGGGCCUU